rnacentral:lncRNA from 1 species
UCUGAAUUUGCAUUUUAAAAAAAACUACACCAACUAGAAGAUUCCUAAGUAAUUUUCAAUUUUGUAUUUACAUUUUAAUGCUGUACUUUUACCAAUGUAUAGUUAGCAAUGCUAGGAUAUACAGAAGAAUGGAAAAAAAUGACUUGGUGGUUUUUGUAUGACACAAUUUAGGUUAUCUUUAUUUAACUUUCCAUAAAUAAGCGCAAGAAAACAGCAAACUCUUCAAAUCAACAACCUGCUGAUACAUUUUUUUUUCCCAGGGCUCUUGGGCAAAUCUUCUGAUGGGAUUUGAAUUGAUAUGCAACAUAGUGUGGCCUGGGGCUCCCUUCCAACUACAGGGCUCUGGUAAUUUGUACUGGCUUCCCUUCUUCUUGUAAACUUGACCGAAGGGAAAAUGGAAGGUGGUAGGCAUCCUCUCAAGUGGAUGUAGGAGGCAAUUAAAAGAAUAAAAUAGAAUAAUUAUAAAAGAGUUUGCUCAGGGAAAUUAAUCUUCCUCCCCAUUUUGAAGGAAGAAAAAUAUUCAUACAGGUAAAUAGUAGUUGUGCUUUAGAAGAUUGAGAAAUCCCGAGUUUAGGGGGAAUGUGAAGAUAAUUGAAAGAAAAGAGCAAAAUGGAUUAAUAUACUAGUUUUCCAAAGACAUAUUAAAUCUGCCUAAAGUUCUUCUGUGACUUCUCUUGGGAAAUCAAAUGGGAGGAACUGGACCUCUUGGGGAAUAAUAUCCCCAUAGCAUAACAUAAUUUAAAGUUGACACUAGAAGUUGAAGUUUAUUUUUUUCCUAAUAAUUAUGCUCAGUGAAGGAUGCAGAAAUUGCAUUUUGGAAUGACAGAAGAGUAGUUAUUUUAGAAAGAACAUUUCAAUAACUAUGGUAGAUAUCUCCUAGAAAAUGUGUUUUAUGGAGUGACAGGAAACGUCAAAGUAAAGGCGGAAGCCAUCUCUUUACCUCAGGCCAUACAAAAGAAUCUCAUCAAGUCAACAGAUAUUUAUUAAGGUUUUGGCACAUAUCCUGGCCUGUGUGCUAGUCUAUGGAGCAACCUUAUCUUAUUUUUUCAUAUGUAUUUAUUUGUGCAUAUUAAUUAUACAGAAUAGUGGAUUUCAUUGUGGCAUGGUUAUGUACACAUGUGGUAUAAUUUGGCCAAUAUUACUCCCAAUACCUGCCUUUACCCUCCCCUUCUCCCUCUCCUUGCUCCUCUUCUCUAUCAUAAUGGCUUCCCUUCUACUUUCAUGACACCCUCUUUUACCCUUCCCCUUUCCCUCUAGCUUCCAUAAAUAAGAAGGAAGUGGCUUUCUGUGUCUGCCUUACUUCACAUAACAUGAUCCUUUACAGUUCUACCCAUUUUCCUGCAAAUUACAUAAAUUAUUCUUAUUUACAACUGAAUAAAAUUCCAUUGUGUGUAUAUACCACGUUUUCUUUAU